AUUAAAUUUUAAAAGCAUUGGCGACUUAUUUUUUUGUUUCAUUUAAGUUUUUCGCGCGUACUCAAUAGUGAGAAAAAAUUAUUUUAUAUGUAAAUAGAAAUUUAUUAUAAUACAUGCGUUCCAUCAUUUUUUUGUUAUUCAGAUUUUUGUGAAUUGUCGUCAUUAUACUCUUAUCAAUAUAAGUUAUUAUGUUAUUAUAUUUAAACUUGCGUUAAUCAUUAAUUCUAUCAUAUAAAAUACUCCACGAAAACUUUAAUUAAUUUUCAUUUUACAAUAUUAAAUGUGACGCUAGUCUGUACACAAUUGCUUCCUUUUAUGCUAAUGUAUGCUAAUGUGCUCUGUUGCCUGUGCCUUUAAAACAAUGAUUGAUUGGUCGCCCAUUUUUCAAAUAUAUAUAUUAUAUAAUUUUCUCGACUUUGGAGAAGUAAUUUACUUAGGUACAACUCUUUUUUGAUUAAUCGCUUUAAGUUUAAACGGGCUUCCUUUUUAUAUUCAUUUCACUGCGAUAUUUUCUAUUUAUUGUUCAAAAACGCUGCCAAGAUACAAUGGAAGAAUGGGAGAAAGAAAAUAAAAGAUGUGUUGCGAUAUGGAAAAGAAAAGAAGCAAAAUGAGCAAAAUUUUGUGAAAAGAAAUUGGACCGAAUAUGAUAUUAAAAAAAUUAUUAAAAAAUAUGAGAAAGAAAAACUAAAUAAUAAUUAGUUAACAUUAAGGAUAAAAAGAAAAAAUAAUGUAUGAAGGGGUAUCGAGGGUCACCACCUGCUAGUCUUGUCUAUAUCGUUAUUCGGUUACACAAUACAUACAAGGAAAUAAUGUUUAAUAUAAUCGAUUUAAUUAAUAUUAUACUGUACUACUUAUAAAUUACAUUAAAAAUAAUGAACCAUUGCAAA